GUUUGAUUCAAUGUUCUAGUUCAAACUGAUCCAGUUUUGACACAUUUGAAAGUCAUGUUCUCAUAUUUCCCUCUCCUGUAGGUGAAAAUUUCUAUUGCAUGUAUGGAAGGACAGCAGAAAUUUGUUAGCACAGCUGAGCACAUGUAAGAAACUUCAUUUAAAGCAGUACAACUUAAAUGUCACUAUCAUUGCUAUAAGAAAGCACUGCUGUUUUGGGCAGAUUUGGCAAGAAUGUCAUGUUGGAUGACACACAUGGCUAUUUUGUGAUUGGUGGAGGUAAAUUCAUACGAGGCAUUGGAGGAUAUUAUGGACCAGCUACAUACUAUCAUAUACAGGGGCUCCCAGCUGAUCAGGUAGGAUACGGUAGCAUUUUUUAAUAUUCAAUUUUAUUAUAAAUUUAGAUUUAGUAUAUGCAUUCACUGGGAAUCAAUCCUAUGAUUUUGGCAUUGCUCAAUAUAAAUUUGGACUGAGCAUAAUGAUAUUUUACGUCUUCACAGGUGGAGAUUCACCUUCCUCUUGUAAAAUCAAAAGUGAAUAUAACCAGAUGGUUCCAGUCUGGUGAAAAUUUUAAAUCAGGGCUUUUUCUGUCUGUAGCAGAUCACUAGCUCACUGUGAAGAGACUGUCAGACAGCUGUUUGCACACAAAGCUGCUACUGAAUCACAGUACAGUCAGCUCAACUGAGCAGUGUAUGUUCUUCAAAUCGCCGACAAAUCCUUACAGACACCGAGUUGCACAGUUGACCAAACUACUGGCACAGAAAUAUGGUAAGAUUGUAUUUAAAUGGUGUAUUCAUGGGUGUUUGCAUUAUGUAGAGUCGACUAUACUAUUUAAAAGUUUGGGGUCAGUAAGUUUUUAUGUAUGCAUGUGUGUGUAUAUAUGUACUGUAUGUGUGUGUGUGUACGUAUAUAUAUAUGCACCUGUUUUGAAGGCAGGGUGAAUGGUAUGAUCUAGCUCUACAUAAGAUCAGUACAGCUCGCAGUCUGGAUGUUAUAAUCAGGAUGAUACCUUUCCUGCUCCAGUCUGGCUGUAUGGGAGACAAUAGAGCAAUACAUCUGGCCUCUGUGCUGUGCAGCAUUGGAUUCGGAGUCAAGAGACAGCUGUACAAGGGGUCCAUUCCCAUUGUCACUGCUCUGGGCUGGUACUAUGAGCAGUAUGAGAAGGAUUACGAGAAGGCCACACAUCUGUGGGAAGAAGCUGAUGCCAAAUGUCACCCUGAAGCUGCCAUGAAUUUGCGAGUUUUCUACUCUCAGGGCCUCUAUCCUGGACAACUUGCCGACCAGGAUCAUGUCUUUGAUUUAUUAUCUGAGUGCGGCAGAGAGUGGAUUUGAAGCAGCACAGUUUAAUGUGGCGUACCUGUGUGAACUCAACUCAGUGAGUCCAUUCUAAACACUUGCUUUAGAUUCAGAUGAACAUGUUCACUCGAUUGGCUUUGACAGAUAUUUUAUAUCUUUAUAUUGCAGGGCUCUUUGGAUCCAGCGCUGGUGACUCAGUGCAUGUUAAGAUAUUAUAACAUGUCGAUACAGACUCAAGAUCCGGCUCCGUACGGUAGUUGUAACAAAUCCAAGACUAAAAUACAAAUUAAAAUGAUUUUAAAUAAAAAAGUUAUAACAAAUAUAAAAUGUAAAGAA
ensembl:lncRNA